UCCGUAGGUGAACUGCGGAAGGAUCAUUAGUGAUUUGCUUCGGGCUAAACUAUAUCCAUAACACCUGUGAACUGUUGAUUGACUUCGGUCAAUAUUUUUACAAACAUUGUGUAAUGAACGUCAUGUUAUAAUAACAAAUAUAACUUUCAACAACGGAUCUCUUGGCUCUCGCAUCGAUGAAGAACGCAGCGAAAUGCGAUAAGUAAUGUGAAUUGCAGAAUUCAGUGAAUCAUCGAAUCUUUGAACGCAACUUGCGCUCUCUGGUAUUCCGGAGAGCAUGCCUGUUUGAGUGUCAUGAAAUCUCAACCAUUAGGGUUUCUUAAUGGCUUGGAUUUGGACGUUUGCCAGUCAAAUGGCUCGUCUUAAAAGAGUUAGUGAAUUUAACAUUUGUCUUCUGGCGUAAUAAGUUUCGCUGGGCUGAUAGUGUGAAGUUUGCUUCUAAUCGUCCGCAAGGCAAUUCUUGAACUCUGGCCUCAAAUCAGGUAGGACUACCCGCUGAACUUAAGCAUAUCAAUAAGCGGAGGAAAAG
rnacentral:rRNA from 1 species